ensembl:lncRNA
CUCAAAAGGAACCCUGAAAACUUCUGUGGAGUUGCUUAAGAUGUUCAUUAGCGCAACAAAAUCUGUUUUUUUUCUAUGAAGCUUAUUGUCCUUUUUCCUUUUCUAGAUGCUCAUUACAGGGUAUUAGAAGGGAAAGCUAUUACCAUAGCAUGGGUUCAUAUUUUGGCUUACUAAUGCAUGAAGUACUUUUGCUUCAUUAUUUAAGUAAUACUUUCACUGUAACCAAUGGAAAUCUUGGCCAAGUCUGGAGUAAAUGAAUUACUCUAGCUAAAUAUAUCAUGUUGGUUAGGGCCAGGGGAAUUAUAUAGCUAAGAUUUGUCUCUUAAUUUUACAUUUGGGUUUCAACACUCUUCAGGUUAUGAGGUUUUUUGUUGUUGAGGAAUGUGUGUCUUACUCUGUGAAGAUUUGCUCCAGCUAAAGUAGCUUGAAAUCCAUGGACUUUAGUUGAAUAGGAGCAGGCCUUGAAACCUUUCAGGAAUUUCAUACUGCUGAUAUUUUCUCAUAGAUGUGCUUUUUAAAAAAAAAAAAUUUUAGAUCUUACAACCAUGUAUACAAGGAUGCUCUGGAUGAGAACGACAUCUAUUGCCAAUUAUGGAGAAACAAACACCAGGAUUUCGAAGGGAUUAACAGAGAAUGAAAAAGUAUCGACUUGAUCAACUUGAUUUCUUUGAAGCGAGUAGCUAAGCUUCUGUUUUUGUGAGCUGAGCUGGUUUCUUUGCCAUCUGCAUGAAGCUGGAAGUGAAGAUAAAAUACACUUUCAAAUAAAUGUGGUCAAAUAGUAGUUCUGGGAAUUUCUCCUUUAAAAUAAAAAAGUAUCACAGUUAAAACAUACAUCUUUUUAUCUGAAAUAUCUGUAGGUAAAGGCAAGACUGAAUUUUUUUUUUCUUUUAAUAAAAUCAGUUUUUCAGUCUGUAUUUUGCAGGGGAAGAAUGAUUUAAUUUUCUUCUGCAUCUGUCCAGCAAGAUCAUUUGCAAGUGCUUUGAAUGUGUUUCAUCUAGAGCCUUCUUGUCAGUGUGCUCUUUUGCCCUUUUGUUACUUGAGAGCUCAGGAAGAGCAUAUGCUUAUGCAGCAGAAAUGACUUUGCAAACAGAAAGUACAUCCUGAACUGG